UACGAAGGGGGCUAGCGUUGUUCGGAAUCACUGGGCGUAAAGCGCACGUAGGCGGGCGGUUAAGUCCGGGGUGAAAUCCCGGAGCUCAACUCCGGAACUGCCUUUGAUACUGGUCGUCUAGAGAUCGGAAGAGGUGAGUGGAAUUCCCAGUGUAGAGGUGAAAUUCGUAGAUAUUGGGAAGAACACCAGUGGCGAAGGCGGCUCACUGGUCCGAUACUGACGCUGAGGUGCGAAAGCGUGGGGAGCAAACAGG
rnacentral:rRNA from 1 species